UACAGAGGUCUCAAGCGUUGUUCGGAUUCAUUGGGCGUAAAGGGUGCGUAGGCGGCGCGGUAAGUCGGGUGUGAAAUCUCGGAGCUUAACUCCGAAACUGCAUUCGAUACUGCCGUGCUUGAGGACUGGAGAGGAGACUGGAAUUUACGGUGUAGCGGUGAAAUGCGCAGAUAUCGGGAGGAACACCGGUGGCGAAGGCGGUUCUCUGGGCCUGUGCUGACGCUGAGGCACGAAGGCCAGGGGAGCAAACGGG
rnacentral:rRNA from 1 species